UACGUAGGGGGCAAGCGUUGUCCGGAUUUAUUGGGCGUAAAGAGCUCGUAGGCGGUUUGGUAAGUCAGGUGUGAAAUCUCCACGCUCAACGUGGAGGGGCCACCUGAUACUGCCAUGACUGGAGUCCGGUAGAGGAGUGUGGAAUUCCUGGUGUAGCGGUGGAAUGCGCAGAUAUCAGGAGGAACACCGAUAGCGAAGGCAGCUCGCUGGGACGGUACUGACGCUAAGGUGCGAAAGCGUGGGGAGCGAACAGG
rnacentral:rRNA from 1 species